GAUGAACGCUGGCGGCGUGCCUAAUACAUGCAAGUCGAGCGAACAGACGAGGAGCUUGCUCCUCUGACGUUAGCGGCGGACGGGUGAGUAACACGUGGAUAACCUACCUAUAAGACUGGGAUAACUUCGGGAAACCGGAGCUAAUACCGGAUAACAUGUUGAACCGCAUGGUUUAACAGUGAAAGACGGUCUUGCUGUCACUUAUAGAUGGAUCCGCGCCGCAUUAGCUAGUUGGUAAGGUAACGGCUUACCAAGGCAACGAUGCGUAGCCGACCUGAGAGGGUGAUCGGCCACACUGGAACUGAGACACGUUCCAGACUCCUACGGGAGGAAGCAGUAGGGAAUCUUCCGCAAUGGGCGAAAUCCUGACGGAGCAACGCCGCGUGAGUGAAGAAGGUCUUCGGAUCGUAAAACUCUGUUAUUAGGGAAGAACAAUUGUGUAAGUAACUAUGCACGUCUUGACGGUACCUAAUCAGAAAGCCACGGCUAACUACGUG
rnacentral:rRNA from 1 species